GACGUAGGGCGCGAGCGUUGUCCGGAUUUAUUGGGCGUAAAGAGCUCGUAGGCGGUGUGUCGCGUCGGCCGUGAAAGCCUGUGGCUUAACCAUGGGCUUGCGGUCGAUACGGGCAUCACUGGAGUUCGGCAGGGGAGACUGGAAUUCCUGGUGUAGCGGUGAAAUGCGCAGAUAUCAGGAGGAACACCGGUGGCGAAGGCGGGUCUCUGGGCCGAUACUGACGCUGAGGAGCGAAAGCGUGGGGAGCGAACAGG
rnacentral:rRNA from 1 species